rnacentral:lncRNA from 1 species
UAACUUAAAAUCAAUUCGAAAGUGAUCAAUUAACGAAAAGCAAUAAACACAAGAUUAACUGAAUAAUUAUAAGUUUUCAUUGAAUAAACUAGAACACGUAGUUACAUGGCUCAGAUAGUUUUAAAGAGAAUCAUCUAUAAUUCCUAAUCUAAUGAGAUUGGUUACUCAUAAUAAUAAUUGACAUAACAAAAGAAUUGAGAAAAUUAUAUAUGAAUAACUGAUGAAUUGCUUCGACGACGAAACCCUGUUUUUUUCUUCUCUUGUUCGCCGAAACGUGAUGUAUAUCCCUCUCUGCCAAAAGUCCUCCGUGAUCAAUAUAGCUGCUGCCUUUAUAUAUGCAUAAGAAAAGCCAAAUCCCCUCCCUCACGUGACACAUCGCAUCCCACUCACUUGGUUUAAUUGACACGUCAUUAAAAUAUUGGAUUGUAUCACUUCGCUUAUGCUUUGAUGACGUCACGUGCUAUAACAUAGUAACGAAAUCGCUGCACGAUUGGAUCAUGGUGGGGUGCGAUAAAAACAGAAGUGCAAGCCUUGAAUGAGCUCAAAAUCUUGAAAUAUUUUCUAACAGUGUGUUUGGAUGGAGGAAUUUUUUGAGGUAAAGUAAUGUUUUGAGGGAAUUCAAAUGAUUUGAGGUGAAUUCCAUUGUUUGGAUGAAAAUUUGAAGAAUUUUCAAAAUGAUGGAAAUUUAUGAAGUAUUUUGUUCAAGUUAAAUUUAGAGAAUUUCAAAAUGACACCUAAAACCAAAGAAUUUGAAAUUCUUUCUUCGCUAUAAACUUUUAAAAAUUACUAAUCGAUCGUAAAACCUAAAAUUAGCCGAAAAACCUAAAAUCGACGAUAAACGCUAAAUCGGCCGAAAAUCCAAAAAAUCGGCAGAAAAAAC